rnacentral:rRNA from 1 species
CAGACUCCUACGGGAGGCAGCAGUGGGGAAUUUUGGGCAAAGGGGGAAACCCUGAUCCAGCCAUCCCGCGUGUGCGAUGAAGGCCUUCGGGUUGUAAAGCCCUUUUGGCAGGAAAGAAACGUCGCGGGUUAAUACCUCGCGAAACUGACGGUUCCUGCAGAAUAAGCACCGGCUAACACGUGCCAGCAGCCGCGGUAAUACGUAGGGUGCAAGCGUUAAUCGGAAUUUCUGGGCGUAAAGCGUGCGCAAGGCGGUUCCGGAAAGAAAGAUUUGAAAUCCCAGAGCUUAACUUUGGAACUGCAUUUUAACUACCGGGCUAGAGGUGUCAGAGGGAGGUGGAAUUCCGCGUGUAGCAUGAAAUGCGUANAUAUGCGNGGAAAACCGAUGGCGAAGGCAGCCUCCCGGGAUAACACUGACGCUCAUGCACCAAAGCGUGGGGGGCAAACAGGAUUAGAUACCCUGGUAGUCCACGCCCUAAACGAUGUCAACUAACCUGUUGGGGCCUUCGGGCCUUGGGGAGCGCAGCUAACGCGUGAAGUUGACCGCCUGGGGAGUACGGUCGCAAGAUUAAACUCAAAGGAAUUGACGGGGACCCGGACAAGCGGUGGAUGAUGUGGAUUAAUUNCGANNGCAAAGCCAAAAACCUUACCUACCCUUGACAUGUCNGGAA